ensembl:lncRNA
GCCACAUUUUCUUAAUCCAGUCUGUCAGUGAUGGACAUUUCGGUUGAUUCCAAGUCUUUGCUAUUGUGAAUAGUGCCACAAUAAACAUACAUGUGUAUGUGUCUUUACAGCAGCAUGAUUUAUAAUCCUUUGGGUAUAUCCCCAGUAAUGGGAUGGCUGGGUCAUAUGGUAUUUCUAGUUCUAGAUCCUUAAGGAAUGGCCAUACUGUUUUCCACAAUGGUUGAACUAGUUUACAAUCCCACCAACAGUGUAAAAGUGUUCCUAUUUCUCCACAUCCCCUCCAGCACCUGUUGUUUCCUGACUUUUUAAUGAUCGCCAUUCUAACUGGUGUGACAUGGUAUCUCAUUGUGGUUUUGAUAUGCAUUUCUCUGAUGGCCAGUGAUGAUGAGCAUUUUUUCAUGUGUCUCUUGGCUGCACGCACGUCUUCUUUUGAGAAAUGUCUGUUCAUAUCCUUUGCCCACUUUUUGAUGGGGUUUUUUCUUUUCUUUUUUGUUUCCUCCCUAGUUUAUUUCCAAAACUAGCCAGAAAGAUUCAAUGACCCUCUUAGAAUUGCUUGAAUUGGCAAGAUCUUGUCUAAUUGGAACCACUCUGAACCUCUCACCACCACCAACAGCAUCCCCAGAGGUACAUCUCUGGCUUAUGAGGUUGUUGUUCCUGAGUGUUGCUCCCACCCUGUAGCCUUGAAAGGGCUAAUCUAGGAGAUCACUGGUAACUGCAUAUAAGUUGACAUUCCCUGACCAGUCACUAACUGGAACUUCUUUACAUCCUCUGGGAAGUGGAAAUGGGUCUGCUCCCUGAUGUAUCAGGAGCUCCUUCUCCCAAAAGAAUCUUUGUCUAAAUCCAGCAGAGGGUAGGGGUGCAUAAUUGCCUCAAAGAGUAAGUAUUACAAGAGCUAGUUAGUAUGAGGAACACGAUCAGAGUGUAAUCUGUUUCACUAUUGUAUUAGGAUUCUCCAGAGAACAGAAUCAUAGGGGUGGGUGUGUGUGUGUGUGUGUGUGUGUGUGUGUACGAAGAGAGAGAUUUCUUUUUUUUUUUUAUUUUUUUUAAUUAUACUUUAAGUUCUAGGGUACAUGUGCACAACGUGAAGGUUUGUUACAUAUGUAUACAUGUGCCAUGUUGGUGUGCUACACCCAUUAACUCAUCAUUUACAUUAGGUAUAUCUCUUAAUACUAUCCCUCCCCCUACCCCCUCCCCACAAUAGGACCCGGUGUGUGAUGAUCCCCUUCCUGUGUCCAAGUGAUCUCAUUGUUCAAUUCCCACCUAUAAGUGAGAACAUGUGGUAUUUGGUUUUCUGCUCUUGCAAUAGUUGGCUGAGAAUGAUGGUUUCCAGCUGCAUCCAUGUCCCUACAAAGGACACAAACUCAUCCUUUUUUAUGGCUGCAUAGUAUUCCAUGGUGUAUAUAUGCCACAUUUUCUUAAUCCAGUCUGUCACUGAUGGAUAUUUGGGUUGAUUCCAAGUCUUUGCUAUUGUGAAUAGUGCCACAAUAAACAUACGUGUGCAUGUGUCUUUAUAGCAGCAUGAUUUAUAAUCCUUUGGGUAUAUCCCCAGUAAUGGGAUGGCUGGGUCAAAUGGUACUUCUAGUUCUAGAUCCUUGAGGAAUCGUCACACUGUUUUCCACAAUGGUUGAACUAGUUUACAAUCCCACCAACAGUGUAAAAGUGUUCCUAUUUCUCCACAUCCUCUCCAGCACCUGUUGUUUCCUGAUUUUUUAAUGAUUGCCAUUCUAACUGGUGUGAGAUGGUAUCUCAUUGUGGUUUUGAUUAGCAUUUCUCUGAUGGCCAGUGAUGAUGAGCAUUUUUUCAUGUGUCUGUUGGCUGUAUGAAUGUCUUCUUUUGAGAAAUGUCUGUUCAUAUCCUUUGCCCACUUUUUGAUGGGGUUGUUUUUCUCUUGUAAAUUUGAUUGAGUUUUUUAUAGGUUCUGGAUAUUAGCCCCUUGUCAGAUGAGUAGAUUGUGAAAAUUUUCUCCCAUUCUGUAGGUUGCCUGUUCACUCUGAUGGUAGUUUCCUUUGCUGUGCAGAAGCUCUUUAGUUUAAUUAGAUCUCAUUUGUCAAUUUUGGCUUUUGUUGCUGUUGCUUUUGGUGUUUUAGACAUGAAGUCCUUGCCCAUGCCUAUGUCCUGAAUGGUAUUACCUAGGUUUUCUUCUAGGGUUUUUAUGGUAUUAGGUCUAAUAUUUAAGUCUCUAAUCCAUCUUAAAUUAAUUUUCAUAUAAGGAGUAAGGAAAGGGUCCAGUUUCAGCUUUCUACUUAUGGCUAGCCAAUUUUCCCAGCACCAUUUAUUAAAUAGGGAAUCCUUUCCCCAUUGCUUGUUUUUGUCAGGUUUGUCAAAGAUCAGAUGGCUAUAGAUGUGUGGUAUUAUUUCUGAGGGCUCUGUUCUGUUCCAUUGGUCUAUAUCUCUGUUUUGGUACCAGUACCAUGCUGUUUUGGUUACUGUAGCCUUGUAGUAUAGUUUGAAGUCAGGUAGCGUGAUGCCUCCAGCUUUGUUCUUUUGGCUUAGGAUUGUCUUGGCAAUGUGGGGUCUUUUUUGGUUCCAUAUGAACUUUAAAGCAGUUUUUUCCAAUUCUGUGUAGAAAGUCAUUGGUAGCUUAAUGGGGAUGGCAUUGAAUCUAUAAAUUACCUUGGGCAGUAUGGCCAGAGAGAUUUAUUUUAAUGAAUAGGCUCACAAGGUUGUGGAGGCCUGGAAAGUCCAAAAUCUGCAGGGUAGGCUAACAGUCCCUCAACCCAGAGAAGGGUUGCAGUUUGAGUCCAAAGGCAAUCUGCUAGCAGAAUUUCUUCUUUCUUUAGAGCAGAUAGGUCUUUUUCUUAAGACCUCAACUGAUUGGAUAUUG